CACAGGAUGCACCGUAGUUUACUACACCGUAUUCUGUGAGUUGCGAACGGGUGAGUAACGCGUAGGUAACCUGCCUGGUAGCGGGGGAUAACUAUUGGAAACGAUAGCUAAUACCGCAUAAGAACAUUUACUGCAUGGUAGAUGUUUAAAAGGUGCAAAAGCAUCACUACCAGAUGGACCUGCGUUGUAUUAGCUAGUUGGUGAGGUAACGGCUCACCAAGGCAACGAUACAUAGCCGACCUGAGAGGGUGAUCGGCCACACUGGGACUGAGACACGGCCCAGACUCCUACGGGAGGCAGCAGUAGGGAAUCUUCGGCAAUGGGGGGAACCCUGACCGAGCAACGCCGCGUGAGUGAAGAAGGUUUUCGGAUCGUAAAGCUCUGUUGUUAAGGAAGAACGUGUGUGAGAGUGGAAAGUUCACACAGUGACGGUACUUAACCAGAAAGGGACGGCUAACUACGUGCCAGCAGCCGCGGUAAUACGUAGGUCCCGAGCGUUGUCCGGAUUUAUUGGGCGUAAAGCGAGCGCAGGCGGUUAGAUAAGUCUGAAGUGAAAGGCAGUGGCUCAACCAUUGUAGGCUUUGGAAACUGUUUAACUUGAGUGCAGAAGGGGAGAGUGGAAUUCCAUGUGUAGCGGUGAAAUGCGUAGAUAUAUGGAGGAACACCGGUGGCGAAAGCGGCUCUCUGGUCUGUAACUGACGCUGAGGCUCGAAAGCGUGGGGAGCGAACAGGAUUAGAUACCCUGGUAGUCCACGCCGUAAACGAUGAGUGCUAGGUGUUAGGUCCUUUCCGGGACUUAGUGCCGCAGCUAACGCAUUAAGCAC
rnacentral:rRNA from 1 species